rnacentral:rRNA from 1 species
AGUGAACGCUGGCGGUAGGCCUAACACAUGCAAGUCGAACGGCAGCACAGUAAGAGCUUGCUCUUACGGGUGGCGAGUGGCGGACGGGUGAGGAAUACAUCGGAAUCUACUUUUUCGUGGGGGAUAACGUAGGGAAACUUACGCUAAUACCGCAUACGACCUACGGGUGAAAGCAUGGGAUCUUCGGACCUUGCGCGAUUGAAUGAGCCGAUGUCGGAUUAGCUAGUUGGCUGGGUAAAUGCCCACCAAGGCGACGAUCCGUAGAUGGUCUGAGGGGAUGAGCAGCGAAACUGGAACUGAGACACGGACAAGAGGCCUAAGGGAGGGAGCAGAGGGGAAUAUUGGACAAUGGGGGCAAGCAUGAUACAGCAAUACCGAGUGGGUGAAGAAGGCCUUCGGGUUGUAAAGCCCUUUUGUUGGGAAAGAAAAGCAGCAGGUUAAGACGACGAUGUAGUGACGGUAACCAAAGAAUAAGCACCGGCUAACUUCGUG